GUCUUGGAUUAUACGUGCGCGCGGAUAAUCGGGCUUGUUCUCGUUACGAUGCACUCUUUGGAAGGUCAAGCAUAUCUCGCACAAAAACGAAGAAGAUCAAACGCCAGAAUGUGAGAAAGAAGGAAGUCGUUCGAGGAUUACGGAAAGAUUAAGAAACCUGCGAACCUUCCGGGGAACAGAAUUUUAUUGUUCGCCCUCGCACACGCGCGAACGGCUUUCGAACCGUAAUAAUACUCGCACCAUCUGAUCGGCUCGUAAACCAGCGUCCGCGUAUUUUAUGUACAGCCUCCCGUUGGUGACAUAUUGUCCACACCAUGGAAAAAGCUUUCGAGGCGAAACGACGACGAGGAAAGAAUAUUCGAAGACAACGAUCGUUAUUACAUGUCUAUCGAUGGGAGACGCGAGAAACAUAAAAAUGCUGGCCGUUCUCAGCCGGAGAGCCCCGAGAUUCCUUGUUCUUCGAUAAACCAGCUGAGGUUGGAAAAAUUCUGUCGCAGGUACCGAAUAUCUGAGGACGUUGGCGAAAAUAUCCUCGACAAAUCGCUCGAGAAUUUCUGUGCUUUCUUAAAAUAAUUUUCUUUAUAUAAAUGCAGUAUUAUGUAUACAGGAACUGCAAGCAUCGAAUCCGAGAUGGCUCUUGCCAUGACUAAAUUACGAAGAUAUAACCGGCAGCGAUUGAAAAUUCUACCGAAUUAGCGGUAAUUGAAACGGUCGAUAAAUUUGCAAUCCCUCCUCUGCGUCUAUCGUCACCAACGGAUACGAUCGUGGAGCGUAGUUUAAGGCGAUGCGACGUUUAGAUAAUACCCUUCGUAAAUUGCCAAUUAGCGUUUUACUGCCCCGCGAGACGCGGGCUUUGCUUUCGUAUAGCGUCGCUACCGACGUCGUAAAGGACGGAGUACCGAGGACAUCGCCGAUACUUGAUUCCAGUUAGUAGUUGCUCGAGGAGCUGCAACGUACGCUAUCUAUUACGAUUUUAUGACAGUUUCUAACGUUCCGUGGAACACCGGAUUUACACGGAGUAAGUUCCGCCGUUCUGCCGUUCGGCCCCAGAAAUAAUUCGAGACGCGUCUUCGGUCGAAGGGAACUUGGAAGACGAACCGAGACAGGAGAAUCUAACGAACGCAAAAUAAUGUUCACGCACACGUUGGGCGCGGGUGUAUAAAUGCGACACGAGGCGUGGCAAUAUCCAUAAAAGGGACCAGAGUGAGAGUAAUAUUGUCGGCAUCUGCGCCGCGUGGCAUAGCCUCGCAACGGCGAUGAAGGCGACGGGACGUCCACGUUGAAAUAAAAAAAACGAUCCUUCGCGAGAAGAAUUCGUCGAUAUAUGGACGCGUAAUGGACGCUGCUCGAGGAACGAUCUGGUCUCCGUACGGUUGGCGUGCUCCCGCGGUGGCAUCUCGCGCAGGGGUCGAAACGUCACUGGGCCGGAUAAAUCGUUUUUCGACGCGUUUCGAAUACUACGCGGGCGGCCAAUCUCGUCCCACGAGGGUGAGCCCGUCGGAGGGUACUAAAAAAAAUCUGUUUCCGUUUUUUCGAAUGACCGAGAAUGCGCCCGGCCUACCGGCUUUCCCAAAUGUCUCGUAGACUAUCCGAAACCGUAACGCUCCGCGUCCUUUAGGAUAGACAUGGAAUUUUAGUACCAACAGAGGACCGUUACGGGGACUAAAAAUAUCCAAACGGCGGAUACUCGAUGUGGAUACACCCAGGGACACGGGAAUGCGAAAGAUAUAUCGACGCCAUACAUAUCCGAGUUCGCGAAAGAUCUACGAUGGAUGAGAUCGUUAAGUAUCUGUCGCGAUAAUCUAAUAAAAUUACACGAACGGCGAAGUAGUCGAAAGUGAACGACCGAUCUGGGAAACUUCCAAGAAGAGAUACUUUCUGAAAAAAAAUCCGCGAAUCAACGUCGACUUCUCCGUCGUUGUUUUUUAUCGCUCGCGACAAGCUGGAUCGCGAUAAUCAUUGGUCGUCGUAUCAGCGGUGGAUCGGACACACCGGAAGGAGUAAUUUGAUUCCGAGGGAAUCGAUAAUGGCUUCUCAGCGAGAAACAGCUUUUCCCUAUAAUUCACACGACGACGAUCGACCGGCCAUUGCCACUUUCA